rnacentral:rRNA from 1 species
AUGCAAGCUUUCCAUCAGUUCUACCACCUGGCUGGACAGAACUUUGGGGACUUAAACUCGGCGGUCGUCGCGCUGAUCCCCAAGAAAGAAGGAGUUGACUGCAUCAGUGAUUUCAGACCGAUCAGCCUGAUCCACUCUAUAGCCAAGCUGAUCUCCAAGGUCCUCUCCAUACGCCUCACAACAGUAGUGCAAUCCAUCAUCUCGCCAGCCCAGACGGCAUUCCUGAAGACUAGAUGCCUGCACGACAGCUUCUUCUACGUCCAAAACUGCGCCAAGAGCCUGCACCAUAGAAAUACACCGGCCGUCCUCCUCAAACUUGAUAUCUCCAGGGUUUCUACAAUGUAUCCUGGGAGUACCUCCUUGAGAUGUUGA